rfam:Gossypium raimondii Chr10_contig_24, whole genome shotgun sequence.
UGUUAAAAAUUUUAUUCACUUGUACUGUUAAAAAUUAGUGUGGUUGACGGAAUAAUCAAAUAGUGAUAUGUGGCGCACCACGUGUCCCCUAUGCUGACGUAUAUAGACCAGUUUUAAGUAGCAAAAAUGGAUAGAAUUUUCAACG